CUGAAGGCUUCUCUGAAACAUGGCUGCGCGGCUGGGCCACGGGGCCUUCCUCCUGCGAAGUUUUCCUUAGGAUGUUCGGAACUUCAGCUGGAACCACCGUGUGCGAUUCCUGUCGACCUUAAAUGCCGACUCUGCGGAAAGGUUUCCCGGACAGGCCAGCCUCUUUUCCACGGCCAUCCCUGGGGACAGGUGCUUGCCGGGAUUCUGUAUCCGCUUAACAAACUGAAUAUGGUGAAAACAAGCACCUAGGGCAACCUAGAAACUGAAAGAAAAGGAUGGGGAGAGACUAUCUUACGCAUCGAAAGCCUGAAGGCUAGAAGACUAGGAUGAAGAAAGAGGUUGCUACGUGAAGACUUCUCCAAGGUGUGGGACCUCGCAUCAGCGAGAACAGGGACUGCAAAGGACACCUUCUCCCUCCCUAAAGCUUGGAAGCCCACACUGACCAUGAUGGAAAGGCAGAACGUGAUUACAACUUGAUCUCUUUGCCUUGAACUUGGAAGUAACAGCUUGCCCUGCCUGUUCUCUGAAGCGGCUGGUGCUGCAGGGGAGGGAGGGGGUCCUCGUCUUCUACCUGCAUGAGAACAGCAGGUAUCGGGUACCCCGCUGCGGGAGCCCCACAACUGAGUUCCAAUGAAGGAGCCCCCAAAGCAAACAGUCUAAAGCUCCGGACCUUCCUAAAACCACUUUGCCACCCGACUAAAGCCAGAUGGCCUGAAUGUAUUCCAAGUCGUCUCCUUGUGCGGAAAAUCCCUUAAGAUUCAAAUUUCAGAGUCCUGGGCCCGGACUCAGACCUACUAAAUUAGCUUUUCGGGGGGUGGGCCCUGGACAUUUGCAUUUUGCAGAUUUAGGGGAUUCUGAGGCAUCCUAGAGUUUAGGAAACGCUGGAUUUGAGAACUAAAGACUUAAACUCUUUCUCAGAAAAAUUUGGCCCGGUGCGAUCAUAAACGUCUUUAGACCAGUAUUUUUCUCAAGCUCCCUUCUGCUACGAUGUUAACUAGGCCCUGGGGAGGUGCAGGUUCAUUACAGAACACAAGAUCUGUUCACAGAAGGUGGCAUCUCCGUUCAUCUAAAUGCCUCUGUCUUGCUAAUCCUGCUGUUGGCGGCUUAAUAGUUUGCUCUGAACAAAAGGAGCAGAGACAGCAGGUGAAUCUGAUUUGUGCUUGCAGUUGCCAUGGCAACGGCAGGCAGCCGAAAUCGCUGGCUAGAAAGGACCCCCUCCCAGGCCAUCCCUCCGUUCCAUUGUGAAAGCUCCGGCUCUGCUCGCCUCAGACUGGAAAUCUGGCCUCCUCGGGGCAGGGUUGAUAAAUGUGUAUUCCCAAAAGAAGUAAAUAGGAAAUCGUGCUUUCCUACCGCUCUGUUUUCUUCUCUUACGUGUCUUCCAAAAGCAUCUCAGCAUAACCCAAACAGGAUGGAAAUUCUUCUCAUCUCCUGGCAUAAAUCUCAUCUUGCCUCCUGCUUGCUGGGGAAUAGGAGGAGUCCUGGGAGGUAAGCUUUGCUGCAAGUGAAAAUACUCUGCUUUUCUCCAUCAAAGAGACAUCAUCUUAACAUCCAGACUCUGACACUGCGUGCAGUAGGACAAGAGGUCUCCCCACCUCUGGAAACAAGCUCAAGAUUUCCGUUUAUAUCACGCACCAAAAGUUGGAAAAAGGAAACUGAAGCAUAAAAAGCCUGUCCAGCAAUGAGAGUCAAUUUAGGGCAGCAGGUCUCAAAGUGUGAGCAGAGGAUCACUGUGAGUCCCGGAGCCCCCUCAGAGGGUCUGCCAGGUCCUUCCUUUCCA
ensembl:lncRNA